rnacentral:rRNA from 1 species
CCUACGGGCGGCAGCAGUCGAGAAUCUUUCACAAUGGGGGAAACCCUGAUGGUGCGACGCCGCGUGGGGGAAUGAAGUUCUUCGGAUUGUAAACCCCUGUCAUGUGGGAGCAAAUGAAAAAGAUAGUACCACAAGAGGAAGAGACGGCUAACUCUGUGCCAGCAGCCGCGGUAAUACAGAGGUGUCAAGCGUUGUUCGGAAUCACUGGGCGUAAAGCGUGCGUAGGCUGUUUCGUAAGUCGUGUGUGAAAGGCGCGGGCUCAACCCGCGGACGGCACAUGAUACUGCGAGACUAGAGUGAUGGAGGGGGAAGUGGAAUUCUCGGUGUAGCAGUGAAAUGCGUAGAUAUCGAGAGGAACACUCGUGGCGAAGGCGGGUUCCUGGACAUUAACUGACGCUGAGGCACGAAGGCCAGGGGAGCGAAAGGGAUUAGAUACCCUUGUAGUC